rnacentral:misc_RNA from 1 species
GAUGAAGAACGAAGCGAAAUGCGAUAAGUAAUGUGAAUUGCAGAAUUCAGUGAAUCAUCGAAUCUUUGAACGCACAUUGCGCCCGCCAGUAUUCUGGCGGGCAUGCCUGUUCGAGCGUCAUUUCAACCAUCAAGCCCCAGGCUUGUGUUGGGGACCUGCGGCUGCCGCAGGCCCUGAAAACCAGUGGCGGGCUCGCUGUCACACCGGGCGUAGUAGAUUUUAUCUCGCUCAGGGCGUGCUGCGGGUCCCGGCCGUUAAAAGCCUUUUUUUACCCAAGGUUGACCUCGGAUCAGGGAGGAAGACCCGCUGAACUUAAGCAUAUCAAUAAGCGGAGGA